rnacentral:rRNA from 1 species
UACGAAGGGGGCUAGCGUUGCUCGGAAUCACUGGGCGUAAAGGGUGCGUAGGCGGGUCUUUAAGUCAGGGGUGAAAUCCUGGAGCUCAACUCCAGAGCUGCCUUUGAUACUGAGGAUCUUGAGUACGGGAGAGGUGAGUGGAACUGCGAGUGUAGAGGUGAAAUUCGUAGAUAUUCGCAAGAACACCAGUGGCGAAGGCGGCUCACUGGCCCGUAACUGACGCUGAGGCACGAAAGCGUGGGGAGCAAACAGG